AAUAUUGGACAAUGGGCGAAAGCCUGAUCCAGCCAUGCCGCGUGUGUGAAGAUGGUCUUCGGAUUGUAAAGCACUUUAGGCUGGGAGGAAGGGGUGUGGGUUAAUACCCUGCAAUUUUGACGUUACCAACAGAUUAAGCACCUGCUAACUUCGUGCCCGCACCCGCCGUAAUAUGAAGGGUGAAAGCGUUAAGCGGAAUUACUGGGCGUGAAGCGCGAGUAGGUGGAUCCGUAAGGUGGAAGUGAAAGCCCCGGGCUUAACCUGGGAAUUGCUUUCAAAACUGACGAGCUAGAGUACGGUAGAGGGUAGUGGAAUUGCCUGUGUAGCGGUGAAAUGCGUAGAUAUAGGAAGGAACAUCAGUGGCGAAGGCGACUACCUGGACUGAUACUGACACUGAGGUGCGAAAGCGUGGGGAGCAAACAGG
rnacentral:rRNA from 1 species